CAAUAGCGUAUAUUAAAGUUGUUGCAGUUAAAAAGCUCGUAGUUGGAUUUCUGGUUGAAGCGACCGGUCGGGCGUUGAUUCGUCUGCACUGGAGUCGGUUUUGGCCAUCCUCUAGGAAAGUGCGUCUGGUAUUAAGUUAUCGUGCGUAUGAUCCUGGUCUUUUACUGUGAAAAAAUUAGAGUGUUUAAAGCAGGCCUUCGCCUUGAAUACAUUAGCAUGGAAUAAUAAGAUAGGACUUUGGUCUAUUUUGUUGGUUUGCAGACCGAAGUAAUGAUUAAUAGGGAUAGUUGGGGGUAUUUAUAUUCCGAUGUCAGAGGUGAAAUUCUUAGAUUUUCGGAAGAUAAACUUAUGCGAAAGCAUUUACCAAGGAUGUUUUCAUUAA
rnacentral:rRNA from 1 species